AAGUCGUAACAAGGUUUCCGUAGGUGAACCUGCGGAGGGAUCAUUACCGAGUGAGGGCCUCCGGUCCGACCUCCAACCCUUUGUGAAUCGAAACCUCGUUGCCUUGGGGGUGACCCGGCCUCCGCGUCGGGGCCCCCGGUGGACGACAUCCAAACUCUGCGUCUCUGCGUCUGAGUCUAAAGUAAAUCAUUAAA
rnacentral:misc_RNA from 1 species